CCGGCAGUUGGCGGUUAAUUUCGGGCCGCCCCUGGUUCAGUUUCUCCGCGACCGCUCUGAGUUGACUUCUUAGAUGACAACCCGGCUUAUACGCACUCUCCCUAUCCAGGGAAGAUCAGAACUGCCUUAAGGAUGCAGGAAAAACCCCGAGACCCAGGAUGUGGGGAACUGGGCGCCCCCUCCCUUACCUCAGGAUUCCAUUCUCCCUUCCGGAGGACUCGCCGCCUGCAGGCCAUGAAAGAGCGCAGGACUCCGAGGACCCGGACUAGCCUAGCGGAGCCGCCCUGCCCCGCCCGGCCCCGUGCCCCGUGUUCCCCGGCGCCAGGGACUGGUCACUGCCCACGAUCAUCAGUCAAGCAUAACCAAGAGUGUGGAGGCUAUUUGUGCACGCGGUCAUCUAGCCACUAGAAAGUCACCUUCCAGGAGUCCCAUCCCAGCAGGACCUUCCCAGGCUCCUGCCUUCCCAGCCUUCACCCCAGUGUUAGCUAUCUGGAGAAGGGUCUGCGAGCAGGACCUGGGGCUCUUUUCUUGGUCCAUGCAUGGCCCACACCCGUUUCCCCCUCAAGGUACUGAGUACUCUCCCUUCACUGAGGAGAUCUGAGCUUGGUCCAGGCAGCAGGAGAAGACACAGCCCUCGGGGGUUAAGGUUCCUUCAAGGUCAAGGCUCACAGGAUUCCUCAGGAGAGAGGGCUGGGCGUGAGCAGGAACCCCGCUGUAGGUGUUUGUAGCAGUGAAAAGGAUGGGUCCCUUGCCCUCCUCAGAGCUCAGCUCAGACCCAAAGGCUCUUCCACUUACCAUCAACAUGGAAACUUGGCUCUUCACCUGAGUAUAUCCUCCCUCUUUUGUGCAGUAUCUUGUUCCUCAAACCGCCCUUCCGUGAGGGCCUGUGGGGUCAAGGGGCCUGGCCAGUCACGCAGAGGUGACUGAGCCCCGCAGACCUCAGGUCAGGUAGACAGAUUUAAUAAAGGCUUCACGACCUUGA